CUCCCACAGUAAAGAGGAUACUGGUAAAUGAUAGGUGGCUUACAGUUAAUAUGUAUAUUAGGUAUCUAGUGGCGCAGACACAUAAAGAAAGUUAAAAAAGAAUAGGCUGUCUUCAGCACAAAUAGGACUUCUGAGGAGGAGACAUGGCACAGGCUAGAGAUAUAGGUGACGCAUUAUGCUUGAGAUGAUGACAGCGAUUCAGUGGAGCUGAAGAAUCAAUGGAUGCUCUGAAUGGAACUGGGAGAUGGCAAAGAUAUGAGCAUACGAAGGCGGAACAGAGAGCUGUGAAGUGUGAGAAUCCUGAGGAGGAAUCGCUAUUAUCAUCAUGUACAAAUAUGAACCUAUGCCUGGAAAAAUACAAGGUGACGGAGGACAGGAGUCUCUUCUCCCACCACUGAUUUCCCAGGUUAUAAUGGGCUCUAUAGGGAAAUAAAAUGUACUUGAAUCAUUUCGCAGCACCUUUUUUUUGAACUUUCUACAAAAAAUGCUGUGGUCAGAUAUUGCUGAUUGUCAAUGGCAAAAUGUAACCCACUAAAAGCAAUGUUUGUUUGUGGAAUUUCAUUUUCUGCAUUUAUUUUUAAUUAAUUAAUUUAUUUUUU